ACUAACGCUGGGCUCGAUUUGUCUUCUUUACUUUCUUUUUCUGGACAGCUGUCAGUAAACUUUACUAAACAUUAAUCAUAAAUGUACAUUGAUCUAGUAAAUUUGGUUGCUAACUUGAGUGUAGCUCUGUCAAGCACUAAUACUACCGUGGUUUAACAUUUCCGUGGUUAUUUUGUUCUGCUUUGUUUACGGUUCAGCCUGUUUUAGGGCGGAACACAGAGAGAGGAAGAGGAAGAGGGGAGAAGAGAAGAGGAAGAAGGAGGAGCAAAACUCUUAGACGUUGAAGUUAUUGUUUUAACAAAAUUUAAGAUAACUUUAAAUGGCUUAAUUCUUGUUAAUGUUUUAUUUGUGUUACUCAAACGAUUUAAAACUAAACUAGAUCGGUUGGUUCAUUGUAUUUUAAGGGCAAUUUAGUUUUGUCGUCGAAUUGUAAAGCUCAGGCUUUCUCUUUCUCAACAUGUGAGGUACGAUUUUCUCAUCGCCUCAUCGAGACAUAACACUCGAUAGCUUCAAUCCAGACUGCAACAAGGUCUUCUGUGAGGUGGAGACAUGGGUGACUUAACGAUGCAUGACUACCACAAACUUUCUGGAGACAGUGAUGACAGCGAUUACUCAAAUGAGAGCAUUGAACAGCCUCCU